GGUCAAGUUAUUAAGGGUGCAGGGCGGAUGCCUUGGCACUAGGAGCCGAUGAAGGACGUGAUAAGCUGCGAUAAGCUUCGGGGAGUUGCACGUAAACUUUGAUCCGAAGAUUUCCGAAUGAGGAAACUCACUUAGAGUAAUGUCUAAGUAUCAUUAAGUGAAUACAUAGCUUAAUGAGGGGAACUCAGGGAACUGAAACAUCUAAGUACCUGAAGGAAGAGAAAGAAAUUCGAUUCCGUAAGUAGCGGCGAGCGAACGCGGAUUAGCCCAAACCAAUAAAGUUUUCUUUAUUGGGGUUGCGGACAUAUCAUAACGAAGAGGUAUCGUAAUUGAAGAGGUUUGGAAAGACCCACCACAGAAGGUAAUAGUCCUGUAUGUUAAACGAGAAGACUUCAGAUAUGAUCCAGAGUACCACGGGACACGUGAAACCCUGUGGGAAGCAGGAGGGACCACCCUCCAAGGCUAAAUACUACCUAGUGACCGAUAGCGUAUAGUACCGUGAGGGAAAGGUGAAAAGAACCCCGGGAGGGGAGUGAAAUAGAACCUGAAACCCUGCACUUACAAGCUGUGGAAGCACAUUUCUUGUGUGACCGCGUACUUUUUGUAGAACGGGCCAACGAGUUACGUUAAGUAGCAAGGUUAAGCACUUAAGGUGCGGAGCCGUAGCGAAAGCGAGUUUUAACUGAGCGUUCAGUUACUUGACGUAGACCCGAAACCGGGCGACCUACCCAUGAGCAGGAUGAAGCGAAAGUAAAAUUUCGUGGAGGUCCGAACCCACGAGCGUUGAAAAGCUCGGGGAUGACUUGUGGGUAGCGGUGAAAUUCCAAUCGAGCCCGGAGAUAGCUGGUUCUCCCCGAAAUAGCUUUAGGGCUAGCCUCAAGGUGAGAGAUACGGAGGUAGAGCACUGAAUGUCCUAGGGGGUAUUGCACCUACCGAAGACUAUCAAACUCCGAAUGCCGUCAUCUUAUACUUGGGAGUCAGACUGUGGGUGAUAAGAUUCAUAGUCGAAAGGGCAACAGCCCAGAUCGUCAGCUAAGGUCCCUAAAUGUAAGUUAAGUGGUAAAGGAUGUGGGAUUGCACAGACAACCAGGAUGUUGGCUUAGAAGCAGCCACUCAUUCAAAGAGUGCGUAAUAGCUCACUGGUCGAGUGAUCCUGCGCCGAAGAUUUCCGGGGCUAAAACUUACUACCGAAGCUACGGCAUCAGUAAUGAUGGGUAGGGGAGCUUCCCAUACGGGUUGAAGCAUGACCGUAAGGACAUGUGGACAGUAUGGGAGUGAGAAUGUUGGCAUGAGUAGCGAGAUGUGGGUGAGAAUCCCACAGGCCGUAAACCCAAGGUUUCCAGGGGAAGGUUCGUCCGCCCUGGGUUAGUCGGGACCUAAGCUGAGGCCGAAAGGCGUAGGUGAUGGACAACAGGUUGAU
rnacentral:rRNA from 1 species